UGUAAUCACGUUCUAACCUAUUGACCGCCAACUUGAAUACCAUAAGCAAGCUUUCAGCACCCAAGCGACUUUCAGAGGCCAGACGGAUAGCCCAAAGGGUAUUCGUUGCAAUCCUCGAUCCCAAUCGUCACAUCUACCAAAGGCUAUAACACUCCAAUCGAAAUCGAAGCCACAUUCCUCCGAUCAUUUUAUGACGAUCAAAAUCGAUGUUGACCUACCAUACGAAAAAAUGCACUCCAAAGAUACCAACACAUAAGCAACGAAGACCGUGAGGCUCAACGUCACCCACGAUAGGCACCAACAAGUUGAUUCCCUACCAACAUGACUG
rnacentral:rRNA from 1 species